rnacentral:lncRNA from 1 species
AUGUUGGAAGGGGUAAUAUGCGACUCAAGGUCAAAAACAUCAGGAAGCUUUAAACUUGCCAUGGAAGAACAAGGAAGCGUACCUGAAAACACGAUGGGAUGAAAAAAGAGACGUAGAAGGAAUUGCAGGAAGACAGAGAGCAACCAAGAGCUAGUUCUUCAAAAGACAGAAGGAAUUCGAAAAGAAAGAAAGAAAGGCUAUUAUGAGGCAAAGCGCUGAUACUGAACAGUUUUGUGUUGGAGCGGCGCGAUCAUUAAUUGUUCUCGAAGUUUACCCUCUCGAACGGUUAGGAAAUAACCGGCCAGACGGUAAAGGGGCAAAAGGAUGAUCGCUGGGCUUCUCUACAUCUAUCAAGGGCCAAGUAUACGAUGACAGUCCAUCAUUUAAAAGCCCAUUCGCCAUUGACAUAAUACAGGCCCAAAUCAUCAGUCAGAGCAACUUAGCCUACUACUUUACCAUCCCUAUAGUAAAUGCCGUGGAAAUAGAGGGGCAAGUCAUGAAAAGAUUCAAAAGUACAAGCAAAUGGGAGCAUGAUAAAGGUCAGACUUACGCAUCACUUAAAAAGUUAUAAGAUUUGAUUUACCGCUACUAAACAAAGGGUGGGAGAUCGGAAAAAGGCGCCAAAAGCACCUCGGAGUCAUACAAAGCUGAGAGCUUAGAGUUCAACUCAUAUAAAGCCGAGCUCAGAGGUCGGAUUAGUCCAGCUCAGACAGCAUGACUUGAGAGCUCGGCCAGCUAAAGGAAACUCAGAGCUCAUUUCACUAAGCAAAGACAAAACUCUCAGGUCAGUCAAUUCAGCUCGGACAACAUGACCUGAGAGCCCGAUCGGAUGAAGGAGACUCAAAGCUCAAUUCAUCGAAGUAAAGACCGAGCUCACAGGUCGGUCAGAUAGUCCAGUUCGAAAACUUGGAAGCCCAGUUGACUAAGUGGAUCCGGAGUUCAACUCUUCAGAGCUCGCAGAUAGGUUAGAUUAGCUCGGGAAAAAGCAGGACAGAGCUCAGUUGGUUAAAAUGAUAAGGCGAGCAAUCUAAAGUAUUUCACACAUAAUAAAAGAAGAACAGCUUAAGCAUGAGAGCAGAACAAGAGCUUCAUUAAAAGAAAAGCACAUUACAGCACGUUACAAAGGCCUACACUACGGGAUAAAAGACUAUUCUUAAAGAAUUUACAUAUCCAGAUACUUCCUCAUCUACGACUAUUACCUACCCUACUAUUCUAGUCUUCAGCUCGGAGGACUUNNNN